UACAGAGACUGCAAGCGUUAUUCGGAUUCACUGGGCGUAAAGGGUGCGCAGGUGGCCAGGUGUGUGAGGCGUGAAAGCCCGGGGCUUAACCCCGGAAUUGCGCCUCAAACUACUUGGCUAGAGCAUUGGAGAGGGGAGCAGAAUUCACGGUGUAGCAGUGAAAUGCGUAGAUAUCGUGAGGAAUACCAGAGGCGAAGGCGGCUCCCUGGACAAUUGCUGACACUCAGGCACGAAAGCGUGGGGAGCAAAAGGG
rnacentral:rRNA from 1 species